UACAGAGGGUGCAAGCGUUAAUCGGAAUUACUGGGCGUAAAGCGUGCGCAGGCGGUUGGUUAAGUCUGAUGUGAAAGCCCCGGGCUCAACUUGGGAAUGGCAUUGGAAACUGGCUGGCUAGAGUGUGGCAGAGGGGGGUGGAAUUCCGCGUGUAGCAGUGAAAUGCGUAGAGAUGCGGAGGAACACCGAUGGCGAAGGCAGCCCCCUGGGCUGACACUGACGCUCAGGCACGAAAGCGUGGGGAGCAAACAGG
rnacentral:rRNA from 1 species